rnacentral:lncRNA from 1 species
GGAGGGGAUUAGGAGUGAUUGAUCCAUCCUAGUGGUAUUUUCCACUAGUUCAUUGAUUUUGAUGAUUAGAUUGUGGUAAAUUUAGAGUUUCUUUACAAUGAUCAUCAAAUCAGAUCAUAACUUAGUGAUUUUCCCUCAUUCGGCACGAACAUAGCAUGAUUUUUAGGUGCGUGCCAGAGUUCGAGACGACUCGAGCAAGUUUCAGAGUCGGCUCGUAAGGGGGAGUCGACUCGCACAUUUACGGGAGUCGACUCG